rnacentral:rRNA from 1 species
UACAGAGGCCCCAAGCAUUAUCCGGAAUCACUGGGCGUAAAGGGUGUCAAGGCGGUCAUAUUAGUCUUCCGUGAAAUCCGUGGGCUCAACCUACGGCGUGCGGGAGAAACGGUAUGGCUCGAGGUCGGGAGAGGUGUGUGGAACUCACGGUGUAGGGGUGAAAUCCGUUGAUAUCGUGGGGAACACCAAAGGCGAAGGCAGCACACUGGCCCGAAUCUGACGCUCACACACGAAAGCCAGGGUAGCGAAUGGG